GACGAACGCUGGCGGCGUGCCUAAUACAUGCAAGUAGAACGCUGAAGAGAGGAGCUUGCUCUUCUUGGAUGAGUUGCGAACGGGUGAGUAACGCGUAGGUAACCUGCCUUGUAGCGGGGGAUAACUAUUGGAAACGAUAGCUAAUACCGCAUAACAAUGGAUGACACAUGUCAUUUAUUUGAAAGGGGCAAUUGCUCCACUACAAGAUGGACCUGCGUUGUAUUAGCUAGUAGGUGAGGUAAUGGCUCACCUAGGCGACGAUACAUAGCCGACCUGAGAGGGUGAUCGGCCACACUGGGACUGAGACACGGCCCAGACUCCUACGGGAGGCAGCAGUAGGGAAUCUUCGGCAAUGGGGGCAACCCUGACCGAGCAACGCCGCGUGAGUGAAGAAGGUUUUCGGAUCGUAAAGCUCGGUUGUAAGUCAAGAACGGGUGUGAGAGUGGAAAGUUCACACUGUGACGGUAGCUUACCAGAAAGGGACGGCUAACUACGUG
rnacentral:rRNA from 1 species